AGCCAUUAAAAGGAAAACUGGUGGUC
rnacentral:piRNA from 1 species